rnacentral:tRNA from 1 species
GGAGGGAUGGCCGAGCGGUUUAAGGCGCACGCCUGGAGAGCGUGUUCACCAACAGGUGUCGUGGGUUCGAAUCCCACUCCCUCCGCCA